CAUGAAAGCCAGUGCUAUUAAAACUCAAUCACAGUAAUAGGGAGGGAGCUUACUAACACACAAAACAUGUGUUAGAGACCCUUUGCUGGGCCAGCAGGUCACUGGGGCUUUGUGCUGUCCCCAGCCCCAUGAGACACUCAGAGGAAAAUGUUAGCUGCUGACUGAAAUCAGGUGAGAAUUUGGUCCACUUCAACCAGUUGGACAGAGGAGAAAUUGUUGCCCAGGAUUUGCUCUGCAAGGAGAAGAACUCCAGGUGCCUAGAUGCUCCCAAGUGAUCCAGCACAACCUUUCCAGAGCAAAGGAUGCUUACAAGCUUGGAAUGAAACAAAGCACAUGCAGGUAAGGGAAUGAGAGCUGAAGUGUUUUGCCAAGAUCAGCUCCAAGUCUAGUGACCCUUGGC